rnacentral:rRNA from 1 species
UACGGAGGGUGCAAGCGUUAUCCGGAUUCACUGGGUUUAAAGGGUGCGUAGGCGGGUAUAUAAGUCAGUGGUUAAAGCUCCGGGCUUAACUUGGAAACUGCCAUUGAUACUGUAUAUCUUGAAUGUCGUUGAGGUUAGCGGAAUGUUGCAUGUAGCGGUGAAAUGCUUAGAUAUGUUACAGAACACCAAUUGUGAAGACAGCUAACUAAGCGAUGAUUGACGCUGAGGCACGAAAGCGUGGGGAGCAAACAGG